rnacentral:rRNA from 1 species
AUUGGGCGUAAAGCGCGCGCAGGCGGUUUNUUAAGUNUGAUGUGAAAGCCCACGGCUCNACCGUGGAGGGUCAUUGGAAACUGGGGAACUUGAGUGCAGAAGAGAAAAGCGGAAUUCCACGUGUAGCGGUGAAAUGCGUAGANAUGUGGAGGAACACCAGUGGCGAAGGCGGCUUUUUGGUCUGUAACUGACGUUGAGGCGCGAAAGCGUGGGGAGCAAACAGGAUUAGAUNCCCUGGUAGUCCACGCCGUAAACGAUGAGUGNUAAGUGUUAGAGGGUUUCCGCCCUUUAGUGCUGCAGCUAACGCAUUAAGCACUCCGCCUGGGGAGUACGGUCGCAAGACUGAAACUCAAAGGAAUUGACGGGGGCCCGCACAAGCGGUGGAGCAUGUGGUUUAAUUCGAAGCAACGCGAAGAACCUUACCAGGUCUUGACAUCCUCUGACAACUCUAGAGAUAGAGCGUUCCCCUUCGGGGGACAGAGUGACAGGUGGUGCAUGGUUGUCGUCAGCUCGUGUCGUGAGAUGUUGGGUUAAGUCCCGCAACGAGCGCAACCCUUGAUCUUAGUUGCCAGCAUUUAGUUGGGCACUCUAAGGUGACUGCCGGUGACAAACCGGAGGAAGGUGGGGAUGACGUCAAAUCAUCAUGCCCCUUAUGACCUGGGCUACACACGUGCUACAAUGGAUGGUACAAAGGGCUGCAAGACCGCGAGGUCAAGCCAAUCCCAUAAAACCAUUCUCAGUUCGGAUUGUAGGCUGCAACUCGCCUACAUGAAGCUGGAAUCGCUAGUAAUCGCGGAUCA